rnacentral:rRNA from 1 species
CCUACGGGGGGCACCAGUGGGGGAUCUUGGACAAUGGGCGAAAGCCCGAUCCAGCAAUAUCGCGUGAGUGAAGAAGGGCAAUGCCGCUUGUAAAGCUCUUUCGUCGAGUGCGCGAUCAUGACAGGACUCGAGGAAGAAGCCCCGGCUAACUCCGUGCCAGCAGCCGCGGUUAGACGGGGGGGGCAUGUGUUCUUCGGAAUGACUGGGCGUAAAGGGUACGUAGGCGGUGAAUCGGGUUGAAAGUGAAAGUCGCCAAAAACUGGCGGAAGACUCUCGAAACCGAUUCACUUGAGUGAGACAGAGGAGAGUGGAAUUUCGUGUGUAGGGGUGAAAUCCGGAGAUCUACGAAGGAACGCCAAAAGCGAAGGCAGCUCUCUGGGUCCCUACCGACGCUGGAGUGCGAAAGCAUGGGGAGCGAACGGGAUUAGAUACCCGUGUAGUC